rnacentral:rRNA from 1 species
AUGCCAUGGAGGCCAUGGACAAGAGGGGAAACCCUUCUCCCAUCUAGGGAGAGGGUCAAGGAAAAAGAAGGAAGAAGGGGGCUCUCUCCCCCUCUCUCCCGGUGGCGCCGGAACGCCGUCGGGGCCAUCAUCAUCACCGCGAUCUACACCAACACCUCGGCCAUCUUCACCAACAUCUCCAUCACCUUCCCCCCUCUAUCUACAGCGGUCCACUCUCCCGCAACCCGUUGUACCCUCUACUUGAACAUGGUGCUUUAUGCAUCAUAUUAUUAUCCAAUGAUGUGUUGCCAUCCUAUGAUGUUUGAGUAG